CCUACGUGAGGCAGCAGUGGGGAAUAUUGCGCAAUGGGCGAAAGCCUGACGCAGCGACGCCGCGUGAGGGAUGAAGGUCUUCGGAUCGUAAACCUCUGUCAGCAGGGAAGAACGGUCACUGUGCUAAUCAGCAGUGAAUUGACGGUACCUGCAAAGGAAGCACCGGCUAACUCCGUGCCAGCAGCCGCGGUAAUACGGAGGGUGCGAGCGUUAAUCGGAAUUACUGGGCGUAAAGCGCUCGUAGGCGGUAUGUCAAGUCAAGGGUGAAAUCCCCGCGCUCAACGGGGGAACUGCCUUUGAAACUGGCAAACUGGAGUGUGUGAGAGGAUAGUGGAAGUCCAGGUGUAGGAGUGAAAUCCGUAGAUAUCUGGAGGAACAUCAGUGGCGAAGGCGACUAUCUGGCACAUAACUGACGCUGAGGAGCGAAAGCGUGGGUAGCAAACAGGAUUAGAUACCCGAGUAGUC
rnacentral:rRNA from 1 species